rnacentral:piRNA from 1 species
UGACCCCCACAUCAGCCCUGUGCGGCAAGU